rnacentral:rRNA from 1 species
AUACGGGGGGUGCAAGCGUUAUUCGGAUUUAUUGGGCGUAAGAGCGCGUAGGCGGCUUGGUAAGUCAGAUGUGAAAGCCCGGGGCUCAACCCCGGAAGUGCAUUUGAAACUAUCAGGCUUGAGUAUGGGAGAGGGAAGUGGAAUUCCUGGUGUAGAGGUGAAAUUCGUAGAUAUCAGGAGGAACACCGGUGGCGAAGGCGACUUCCUGGACCAAUACUGACGCUGAGGCGCGAAGGCGUGGGGAGCAAACAGGAUUAGAUACCCCGGUAGUCC